CCUUUGGUAUAAAAGAUUCUAAACGAUGAAAAAUCGUCAGUUCCAGUUCUUGGCUCGAAACUGACAAUGAACCCAAUCGUAUUCUUCUGCCUUUUCGGCGCUGCAGUAGCUGUGCAAUACAGCGGUGAUCACGUUGUGGAAGGAGUAGGAUCCGGCUUGGAAUACCCUGUCGCUGAUGUUCCAUUCGUUCGUGCUGGAGUCGUUCCAGAGACCUACAA